UUCAAAUAAUGAAGGAGAAAAGUUUUGCUUUUGUGGGCAGCAAGCUCAAAUAUGGGCCUUAUGAGCUAGAAGAAACCUAAGUUAGAGGUUCUUUGAUUACCCAUAAUUUCUUUUGCCCUAACUCACCACUUGAUGUUUUCCCUCUUUUGACUUUCAAAAGUGCUUUUGUAUAUAAAAGAUAUUCAUGCUGUGACUACUUUAAAUAGUAUGAUAAUGAAAUAUAUCCC
rnacentral:lncRNA from 1 species